UACAGAGGGUGUGAGCGUUGUUCGGAAUUAUUGGGCGUAAAGGGCGCGUAGGCGGUGCGGUAAGUCACCUGUGAAAUCUCCUGGCUCAACUGGGAGCUUGCAGGCGAAACUGCCGUGCUGGAGUGUGGGAGAGGUGCGUGGAAUUCCUGGUGUAGCGGUGAAAUGCGUAGAUAUCAGGAGGAACACCUGUGGCGAAAGCGGCGCACUGGACCACAACUGACGCUGAGGCGCGACAGCGUGGGGAGCAAACAGG
rnacentral:rRNA from 1 species